rnacentral:piRNA from 1 species
UAUAUGCUUUCUUCUUGUCAGUACCG